ensembl:snRNA U1 U1 spliceosomal RNA
AUACUUAAUCUGGCAGGGGUUAAGGUGGUUUUUCCAGGGCGAGACUUACCCUUUGCACUCCGGAUGUGCUGACCCCUGCGAUUUCCCCAAAUGUGGGAAACUCACCUGCAUGAUUUGUGGUAGUCGAGAACUGCAUUUGCGCUUUCCCCUG